rnacentral:rRNA from 1 species
CUACGGAGGGGACUAGCGUUGUUCGGAAUUACUGGGCGUAAAGAGUUCGUAGGCGGACUGAUAAGUAAGAGGUGAAAUCCCAGGGCUCAACCCUGGAACUGCCUUUUAAACUGUCAGUCUAGAGACCGGAAGAGGUUAGGGGAAUACCUAGUGUAGAGGUGAAAUUCGUAGAUAUUAGGUGGAACACCAGUGGCGAAGGCGCCUAACUGGUCCGGUACUGACGCUGAGGAACGAAAGCGUGGGGAGCAAACAGGAUUAGAAACCCCUGUAGUCC